GAGAUCUGCUGAUGGACCUGCCUCCUGCCAAUGCCAGGUAGGGGCCUGGUGACAGCAUCAUGAGGCAAAUAAGAGAGAAAAAGGCUCCAUGGAGCAUAACAGGUUCUGACCCAGGAAUCCAGGAGUUCAUUUAGGAGCCCUGCCCUGUUAAUGUGUUUGCUAGUGCUUCCAUUGCUGUGACAGACAGAAUGAACAGGAGCCUAACUUAACAGCCCUCUGAGAGACUCUACCCAGAAGAUGACUGAGACAGAUGGAUAUACCUACAGACAAACAUUGGACGGAGGUUGGGGACCUCCAUGGAAGAGUUAGGGAAGGAGAUGACAACCUCACAGGAAGACCAACAGUGUCAACUAAUCUGGACCUCUAGGAGUUCACAGAGACAGAGCCACCAAGCAAAGAGCAUACAUAGGCUGGUCUGAACCCCCUGAUUCCUAUGUAGCACAGGGCUGUCAUAUCUGGCUGCUUCAGUGGGAGAGGAUGUGCCUAAUCUUGCAGGGAUUUGAUGCACAAGGGUGUGUGUGUGUGAGCUACAGGGGGUGUGCUGUCCUCUUAGAGGAGAAGGGGAGGGAAAUGGGGAGGAACUCUAUGAGGGUAGACUAGGAAGGGGGCAACAUUUGGGAUAUAAGUAAAUAAAUGAAUUUUC
rnacentral:lncRNA from 1 species